UUAUUAAAGAAUGAUAAAAAAUGAUAAAAUUUUGGUUCAAUGCAAGCAACUUUUGGAAGAUAGGAAUAUGACUGAACUUUUAAAGAUAUUAAGCUAUGAUGAAAAUAGGGAAUUUGUUGUUGGCUCUGGUUGGGAGCUUAUUGGUUUAUUAUGUAAGCAAGUAGGUUAUGACUCAAACGACCAAAACAGUUUCAAUUGUAUAAAACUUUUACAAAAGGCAUGUUCAGCUAAAGAAAUAAUAUUAGGGCUAGACCUGGAAAAUUCCUACUCAGAGAAUGCUUUUUUUGUUGUCAUAACAGUUUAUACAGAUGCUUUUUUGAAGUUGCAAAGAGGGCAAGCAGUGCAUUUGAAGAGUAUAUGCAAAAAUAUAGUGGAACACCUUGAUCAACUGCUUCAAAAUUCAAAAAAUGUUUCUUCAAAAAACUAUCAGCUUAAAGCUAUUAAUGCUUCUAAUCUAAAUCAGAUUUUAGUGGUUGUUAAAAAGUAUGAACGUUUCUGUUUUUCUUUGAAAGAUUUUGUUUUAAAAAUCAGUGAAAAACUUAUACAUGAAAAGUAUGACGAUUUAGAAAAUUUUUUAUCUGAAAAAUCUAUAAAACAAAAUGGGUGGAGUGCAUAUGAUACCGAAGCAUGUCGCAAUAUUCUGUGUGAGUUUGUUUUUAAGGUAUUGGAGCAACUUAUUGAAUGUAUACCAUUGUUGAAACACCCAUCUAUGAUAGAAAUUAAAAGUUGUUUUACUGUUUUUGUUGAUUCUGUUUUAAAAAUGAAAAGAAUUGCAGAUAUGUUUGGGUUUUAUGCUUCAAUGAAAUUCGAUAUCUCAAAUGCACUUUAUAAAGCAGAAUCAAGUAACAAAAUUUUCAUAUAUAAUAACCUUGGUUUUACAUUGUUUAUGUACUUAAUCUACAUUCAUGGACUUGUUUUUCAAGAAAUUCCUCUUGUCUAUAGAAUAGAGAGUAUUCUUUUAACUGUUAUGCCACAUUUAAACAUGAUGAUAAAAAGACCAGAUGCAGUAUCAUUUGAAAUAGGAAUGGAGUUCCUGUUUUAUCUUUUGAGUUGUAUUUCUUGUAACGAGCUUGAAAAAGAACAUAUUUUAUAUAAGCAUCUGUUAAUGGGCUUCUACUUUGUUAUGGUAUGGGGGGUUAACAAAAGCAGAAGAGAAAAAGCGAAAGAAGCAUUUGAAGAACUGUUGCAGAAAUUUAAUGCUCACUCAAAAUUCGCAUUAAUUAGAAAAUCACAAACUCUCUUAUGCAUCCAAAUACAACUGGCCAAUAAUAUCAAAUUAUUUUAUUAUUUCAACCAUAUCAAAAGUUGCACACAAACCAAUAAUAGGCUCAAAUACUAUUUUAAUGUCAUGUUUAUGAAAGCAGCCAUCAUGCUGGUAUGGAAGCGCUGUGUAUCAGUUUAAUGAACAAUUUGCUAAUGACUGAGUACCCAGAUUUUGAACAGUGCCAAAACAUUUCAUCUUUGGCAUUAAAAUAUAUUGAAUUUGUUGUUGGUGAAACUCACAUUCUAUUGGACUCAGAUAGGUUGCUUGCUGGUUUAAAUUUUCUUCGAUUUUGGUUUCUAAAAGA
rnacentral:misc_RNA from 1 species